rnacentral:lncRNA from 1 species
GAACACCUCGAUCCUUCAAUUGCAUCAAGAAGUGCUUGUGAUAUUUCCUCUCCUCUUGGGAGCUCAUCAUCUAUGAAGGUUCUGAUGCCCCUCUGGACCAAAUUUUUGUGCAGAUGGUCUGUGAAAUUGUAGCGUGUGUCCUCACCUCUAAAGCUGAGAAACACAUCGUGGGUCCAUGAAUUGGUGAAAGAAGAAGAAGAAGAAGAAGGGGAAGGAGCUCCUAAUAAUUGAGUGGUGUCUAGAUCCAUAUUGUUGAAAAUUGAACAGGCUGAAAGGGUUGGAAAUUAUAGUGAUUUAUUGUCCGAGAGUCUCUGGUUGGCAAUGUCAGUGGGGAGACGAAUCAUGUGAGUGAAAAGUCUUCGUCUUUCUCGGCCCCAAGAGCCCCUACCUCUGCUGGGUCUCUCUAGACCCGAGGGACAGUUUUAAAUUUUUUUAAUUUUUAAUUUUAUAUAAUUAUUUAAUCAAUAAAAUAAAACUAGUUUGUUACUCUUUCAAAAGGUUUCCGUGAAUGGCGGGAAGAAGAACCACCUUCAUUAGUGGUUGAAUCCAUUUGAUUGCAGAAAAGGAUGUUGGGAAAGGCUACUUUCCUUUGUUAUAUAUUAGGUGUUUACUCAGUGCUCCGCCAUUUGCUUGUAUUAAAAAUAAAAUUAGGCCAUCCCAUCUGCGAAGUAGUUUCCUCUGUCAUUUUCAGAGUGGAUGAGAAGUCAAAAGGUGAAUAUUAUAAAACAGAAGACUGCAUUUUUGUUGCAACGUACGGUUGUUUCGCAAUUCAGAAGUAACGUAGAAGUUCGGCGUGUAGGAAAAAAAGACAAAAUGCGUAGAUGAUGAAGAUGCAUAAAAUAACCUCCUCUAAAUAUUUUGUUAGAAGACAAAACUUUGUUUCUUUUCCUUUUUUCUUAUUAUAUGACCUAAUAUUUGAAAAAUAAUAUUGAUUCCUUUAUCGACAAAAUGGCCUAAUUAUUUACAGAAUUUAAAUAAAUUUUUAUAAUAAAAAUUGAUUUUAAUCCCCACUUGAUACACGCACAUAGGACACGCUUAGGAUAUUCAUUAGGAAAUAAAAUCAAUAGGAUCCAAAAUUUGGUGUUUAUAGGAUAUAGGAUGAUAAGCUAAAUUCAAUAGUCUCAAUACGAACUCAAUAUCACUCAAACUCACUAUGCAACACAUUUCAUUCAAUUCUUUUGUGCCAAAAUAAUUGACUACUCGAACAUCUUCUAAAAGUUUCAUUACGUCCAUGGAGUAUAACUCAGUUGAUUGAGCUCUUUCACCUCCACUUAUGUGGGCAAAAGUUCGAGACACCUAGGCACCCAAUGAAUAUUUGUGUAAACCACUCUCCCCCAAUCACUUGUGCUAUAAAAAUAUAUAAAAAAAUAAUUACAAAUUCCCAUGUUUUUCUUAUCAUUUCCAUUGUUUUUUUAAUCUAGUUUUUAUCAAUAUCAAUAAUUUUUCACAGAUAUUUCCAAAUUUUUAGACCACUAAUAUUUUUGAAACUCUAAAUGCCUGUUUGGCAUUGUUUAUUUGGAGCAAAAAUCACUUUCUUAAAAAGUUUUCUUCCACCUAGCUGUUUGGUAAAUGAAAAAAUAAUCUGAUUAUAUGAAUAAUUGCUGUCAGCCACAGUGAUUUGAGGAAGCUGGUCAGGGGGUGAUUUUAUUUCCGCUUAUGCGGAAAGAGGGUGGGGAACCGGUGCUCUUUAAUGAAUGUUUUAAAAAUGCCCAGAUUAUUCUCAUUGGCUUUUGAAAAUGACAUCCACUAUCGUCUUCAUUUGAUCAUGUAUUCUUGAAUCGCUGCUUCCUCUCCUCUCACGUUACAUAGUGAGUUCAGUUCUUCUUCUUCUUCUCUUCACACCUUUCUUCUUUAAUUUGUCUCCAAGAUUCCUACAACCCCAGAUCUAAAGUUUGUUUCUUAUCUUUUUUCAUUCUGGAUUUGGGGCAGUUAGUCCUUUCUGAUGGUCCAAUCCUGAUAGUCACGUUUCUAGUUCUCAACAAAGAACAAAUCUUAAUGGUCCUUCAAAUCAACGGAUUGGAUCCAGUAUCAAUUUCAUCAUUUUGGGUUUUCAGUGCAACAGAGUGAUAAAAGGUUUUCAGUGCAACAGAGUGAACAAAUCUUAUUGUUUUCUUGUGUUUGAUGGGCUGCAAUGAAUUUGUAGGUUGUAUCCCCUGUGUUCACUCUCUUUCUGGGUUUCUCUUGUUCUAGUCCUCAUUUGCAACUUUAUCCAAAUUAUUUUUUUAUAAAUUCUCUUGUUCUAGAACACUUUUAUUUUUAAUACUCAUUCUAAACUGGUUUCCUUCAAUCCUUUUUUCCGUUUUCAAAAUCAUUGGGUUUUCAAUAAUGAAAUGCUGUAUUAAUUGACGACAAACAAAACAAAACAAAACAAUGUAGGAUCAGCCCACAUAACGCAUCUGGAAGAAAGAGGCGAAGGGUGGUCAUAAUUUCUAAAUUUACUUCACAAUAAGGAAAGGAAUGCAUAUAUGCAAGUAUGACUGUAUGAGUAGCAACGUAUAUACUCGAUGGGAAUUGGCAUUUGGUUGUUGGCCAUGGAGUUAAAUGGUGUGAACAAAAAUUACUAAUGAAGAGGCAAGAGGGCACUGAAUACUGCAAUCGUGAUAGGAAGAUUUUGGGUUGUUAUUAUAUUCAUUUGUGAAUUACAAUAGUUGAGUUUUCAAUUGAUCAUAAUAUUCAGGUUUUAGGUAUUGAAAUUAAAAAUAAUAACCUCAUGCCCUUUCUAGUCACUAUACACAGUCCAAACACUUUUACACAAAAAUUUACCAAACAUUCGUAAACUUAAUAUUGUUUCAACAUCACUUUUAACAAAAAGUUUACCAAACGCCAAAUUGAUUUAUUUCACAGCUGAUUUCUCAUAUAGCAAAUUUAACCAUGAUUAUUUUCACAGCACAGCAAUGCCAAACUGACUACCUUACUUCUUACCCAAAAAAAUUGUCCUUACUUAUUGUAAAAUUAAUGAGACAAUAACUAUUUAUAACAAAAACCAUGAUUGCACUCAUAAUAUGCAUCAAUGUACAUCACAGAUGCAAAGUAGUUUCAUGUCAUCUUCAUAGUGGAUGUGAAGUCAAAGGGAAUAAGAAAAUGGUCAAAAGGAAACAACAACCAACCACAAAAGAAAAAGAAAAAAGAAGCAUCACUACACUUUCGUUGCAACAUGGUUAUUUAACAAGUAGUUGGGGGUGUGGAAAAAAAGACAAAAGGUCGAUUGAUGAUGAAGAUGACUAAAAUAGAUCAGGAUUGUCAAAAAUAACAUCUAUAAUUGUUAGAACACAAAAUUUUGUUAUUGGCGAGUCAGUUAAUUCAUAAUGUGUCAUGCUAUUAGAUAGAAAGGUAUUCGUAUAAUGUAUGUGAGUUUAGUAAAUUAUCGCCCCUCUCAAUAAGGGCUUGCAAGUAAUGAGACACAUAACCUAAUUAAAAGACAGGAUUGUAAUUAAACCGAUAUUUUGUUGAUUAAGAAUGAAUGCAAUUUUCAAAAAUAAUAUCAUGAACCCAUUCAAAUUGAGUGAGAGGGACUUCGUCGAUCUUUUCUUCUAGCAGAUCAAACUUGUUCAGUAUCAAAAUGAAGUCUUUAUAUGGUCAAUGACUGGAUAGUGAGCGUAUGGUGGAAUGUCUAGUUUUGGGGUGGGUGGUUUCAAUUGGGUUGCCACCAAAUAUAUACUACUAGAUAGUAACUUUUGAAUUAAUGAUGCCAAGGGCUUAAAUAAGAUGGAGUAUUUAAUCAAACUUCUUGUUUCAUGAUGCUAUAGUCAAUUGUUGCAUGACUAAUACCUUUUUUUUUUUUUUUUUUUUUUUAAUUUUAUGUUUUUUCGAAAAGGCAGAUUUCAUUCCAUUAGAAAGGAGGAAUAAUGGGCAUGUAAUACAUAGCCUCGUUAAAACCUUCCCGGAGAAACCACACGUGAAAAAUCCCGGAGUAAGAAAGAGUACCACAAAUGCUGAUGAAGUACACAACAAGAAAAAUUACAUUGCAUCACUAUUCCUCCUUUUUAGUUCAAGAGGUAUCUUUUUUUUUCUUUUUUUUUGGUGGUUUUCUUUGUGCAUGCUCUUGGGAUUUAUAGUACUUUACUCUGUUGUGAUCAAUGUUAUGUCUAGAGUACCCAAUGUUAUAUAACUCCCCCAUUGUAAUUUCUAUAACUCAUAACUCGCAAGAAAGAAUUCAACCUCCCCGUAGUUUAGAAAAUAACUAUUUAAUUAAAGAUUACAAUCUGGUUUGGUUAAGUUAACUGACUAUAUAUAUAUAUAGUAGCAACGGUGCCCACGCGAUGCUACAGGUUUUAAAACCCUGUGAAAUGUAUACAAAGUCGUGAAAAUAUGUAGGAAAUAUGGUACUAUUUAUAUAGACAUGGAGAUCUAAAUAGUGGCAUCUUUGUUUUGCAAGUUUAAUACUCCCAAAGAAAAAAUUAGCCAAACUACAGACGCAAAAAUGAAUCUUAAUCAAUUCCAAAUAAUAGAGGCAGUGUUCAAACUUAGAAAGAUAGAAGAACUAAAAUUCAGAUAAUGGAGGUAAUGUUCAAACUUUGAACAUCUCUAACAUGACAUCACCAAAUCAGUAAAUAUUACACAAAAUCAGUAUAAAAACACAUGAAGACAAAAAAAAAAAUAAAAAAAGCAAAUAUUAACAACAAUAGAUCAUUACACAAUUUAGGGUGACCCUAACAACAAUUGAGGAAUUGAUUGCUUUUGUUAGAGACCAAAGCAAGUGUUUCUAAAACAGGGAAUAAGAGCAUAAAAGUUUUUGAAUGUUGGAUGCCCAUUUUUUACUUUUCCUUCCUCUUCCUCUAUUUCCCGAGAAAGCAAAUAAACAGAAUCAGCCAAAUAUCACCACAAAUCAAAUGUAUGGUAAUUAAUUAAAUGCCAAAGUAAGAAGUGCCAAAGAAUCAUUGAGCAUAAAAUAAAAAAAAACCAAAAAUCUGAGUCACCACUUGUAGAAGAUUAGCCCUUUGCUGGCAGCUCCUUUCACUUACAAACUCCUUGGUGUUCCAGUGCCACAACAACUUCAGUACUUGCUGCACAAUCCAAGCUCCUCAGUACUCGAUGCACAAUCCAAGCCCUGCAAGCUACAUUGGUAUUUGUUAUGGGUUGCCAUAAAAGGGAAUUUUCAUUUUUAAAGGUCCGUAUGUACGAAUCUAUAAAUGAGUUGCAAAACUUCCACAAAUAUCAAAUCAAACCACAGAUUAGUGGCAGCAUGUAUGUACCAAAUUGUGGCACAUCCCAUUUCAGCUCAUAAAUCGUCAAAUAAAAAAUCUAAAAUACGCAUUCAUAUCAUACAAGUUGGAAGGAUGAACCAAUAUUUUGCAAAAGCACAAAACUUUAUUAACAUCCCAACAAACCCAAAGGAUAAAAACAGAUAAUCAAAUCAAUCAUGAAAUACAGAAUUACAGACAGAAUACGCACAUAUAAGGAUGAAAUGCAACAAUUAAGACCACUCGCGCCACCCAUUUCUCUGUAAUUGAUCUUUCGCUUUUUCAUUGUCAAUCCAACAUACUUUUAAAUCUUUACCAAUCAAAUUUUACGUCUCCAAUUCAACCGGGCAUUUCGAGGGGAUGCCUCUGACGCAGCCUCCUUCACAUCUGCCACCAAAGCCAAACAUCAAACCUCAAUUAAUUCACAAACCCAGAAACCAACCCAACCCAAAUUACAUAGGGCAGAUAGAUAAAGAAGCAGGAUGAAGCAAAAUGAUAAUAAUUGGUCAAACAGAACCCAACAUGCACAAAAGCUUCAAAUGUCCAAAGCUCCAAAAACAAAACAUAAUAAUAAUAACCCGAAUUGGGCAAACCAAGUUCUACUCAGUAGUGGGUGGCUCUUGUGGGGAAGAAGAUGAAGCUUCAUCUGCAUAAGAGACCAAUGUACACAGUGGGCUUGCGUUUCACGUCCCAUGGCUGCGUUUUGCGAGGCCGAGUCUUCCUGUGAUGCGCAGUGGCCUUCUUCUGUGGCCUCGACGAACACUCAAUCAUCAACCCAGUACCUCCACCAACUGAGCCGCGCAAUGGGGAUGUCUUUGGGACCCCAAACGACUCGAUCGCAGAUGGGUUCUUCACGGCCACACCCAUAGCCACCAAUUGAGGCCCCAACACAGCUUCAGUUCUCACAGUGAGAAAAAGACGAUGGAAUUGGGUUUUCCUUCUCUCAGCGACUCCGACGAAGAGGAGAGAAUAGCGCUGGAGGGCAAAACGGCUAAUUCACUGCUCAUAAGUCAACUCAAGGAAGCAGACCAUCACUUAAGCGGGGGCAAAACCGUCACUUCGCUAUUCCCAAGCUACAGUCCAGGAACAAUGACUCUGGGAUCAGUUUUAGUAUAUAUAUAAUUUAUAAAUAAAUAAAAAGAACUUGUGUAUUUUGUUUCUUUGUUUGUUAAAAAAUAAUGGGAGAUAUUAUUGGCACCCCAUUAUUUGCUCUUUGCACCCCAUAUUAAUUUUAAACAUGAAUAAUUUAUUUAACCUUCGUACAUAAUUACCGUUAAGGACAAAAAGCAUUUAUAAUAAAAAUUAAAUUUGCUCACUACACCCCAUGUAUGUUCCUGCAACUCUAGUUAGAAUUUUUUUCUUAAACCAUCAUGUUCCUACAAUCCUAAUGAGCUUUAUACGCUUAUAUUGGUGAAAAAUAUAUUGUAUUUAUUCAUGAAGGGUGAGAUUGAAGUUAGAGAGGCUUCGAAUGAGUUAUGAGUUUAUUUUUUGGCCUUUUUCAAGCUUGGGAUUUCUUGAUGGUUCGCUAGUUGCGUUUAGCAAACCAGUACCGAACGCGAUAGGUAAAUUCGGUGGGAUGCCACCGAAACAUUGCACCUAUUUUGGUUGCGUUUGACUGGCCGUUAACUUCAGAUGCAGUGGAGAUCCACCAUAAUAUAAACGGUGUUCGGUGGUUUAUUACAGAAUUUUUACCUACAAUUCAGUGGCAACGAACCGAAAUAUAUUUAUUUUUUCAGUAACUUAUUGUCGACCACAAAUUUAAUAUAAGCUAUUUUGACCUUACUCCCAUUGAAGGAACAAAAACAAGAUGACGCCCUUAAAAUAGAUGACACAUCAUCAAAUGUGAUGGUCAUCUCACUAAAAGGCAUGUGAAAGAUGUUCGUUUCAAGAUGCCAUCUCUCAAUAAAGGUAGAUAUAACAAUCUUAUCUGCAUUCCGAUAAGAACACUAAAUAAGUUGCUCCAAUCCAUACCUCUAAAUGUACCAUUUGAAUAUACCAUUAUUUGGAUUAGCCCUCCAAUUUCACUAAUGAAGGAUAGAUGUCUUCGACAUGCACCUAAGGUGCUCACAUUCCUAGUAAAAAACAAUAUUAAGUACAAACUCAAUAACGAAUUCAGUAGAUGAUCACUGAAACAAGAAACGAAUUCACGGAAACAAAAAAUGAAUUCAGUUGACUACUACUGAAAAACAUAAACAUAUUCAAUAGACUGUCACUAAAAAACUGAAACAGAUUAUGUGAACUACUAUUGAAAAACGUAAACACAUUCGGUGGGUAGCUACUGAAAAUAGAAAACAAAUUCGAUGGACUACCGUUGAACAAGGUAACGAUUUUAGUGGGGUUUACACAGGUAAGUUAGGGAAUGGGGUUCAUGAGGGCAAUCUAGGAAGAAAAAUGAGGUGUAUUGAGUAAUUUUAAAAUUUCCUAAAAUUCAGUGGGGUGUAAGGAGAAUAUGAGGUGGAAAGAGCAAAUGUUAGAGUGCCAAUAAAAUCAUCCAAAAAUAAUAUAUGGUUUAAUGGGUUGUCCUGUUAAGGGAAAGCUUGGAGGCAAUAAUUUAAACUUUUGGAAAAACAAUAAUCCCAAAUGUAAGAACAAUUCAUCCACUAAUAGCUUGCAAAAUUAUAAUUUAAAUGGAAAAACAAAAAACAAAUGCACUAGUAAUAAGUUAAUGUAUCUACUAAACUUAAUUACAUGGAGGCAAUCUAAUGGAUCACUAGUGAUUUUUUAGUCAAAACAACCUAGUUAUAUAUAAUUACUGAAAAAAAUAAUCUCAUUUUUCACGGCCCAAGAACGGGCAAGGGUCCUUCAAUAAGUUAAACAUGUUUACAAGGUGUCACCAAAGCACAAAACGGUCCAUAAGCAAACGAACUGUGGCCUCUGAAAGACUAGAGGAAUCCAAGUCCCUCUGAAUCUGAACCAUUCUGCUGCUCUCUUUUCUUGCUUCUUUCAACACUUGCUGUUGUUCUUCAACCUCAUCAUCACCUUCUCCUUGUUUUCCCUUUGAUGAAAACACCAGUCGCUUCUUAGCCCCUACCUUGUCUUUCAGCUUUGCCAACUCGCUCAUCCAAACCUCCACCACUGCAGACAUGCUUGAACUUGAAAACAUGAAAACUGGCUUGGUCUUGACUCUUUGAGUUUGAUCAAGGAUGAUGGGGAGAGCUGGCUAUUAUGCUUGUUGGGUUAUAUAGAAGAGAGAGAGAGAGAGAGAGAGAGAGAGAGAGAGGGCCUUGCCCUUCAUGUGGCUUGGAUUGGAUGAAAAAUCAGUGUGUCACAGACAGCCGUUGGUUAUAGGCUCGCACACAGGAUUUAGUUUUAGGAAUAUUCCAGAGAGAGAGAGAGAGAGAGAGAGAGAGAGAGAGAGUACAAAGUGGGGUAUGAGUUUUGUUGAGUGAAUGAAAAGCUUCCCAGUGGGCGCACGGAACUCUCUUCUUUAGAUUGUGGGCGACUUGGCAUAUUACUAUUCAUCAAUAGUAUCCAUUGCAUCUUAGUUUUUCUUUUGUCUUAUUCCAACAUUGCAAAUCUCUCUUCCGGGUCAACCACCUCUUCAUCAUCAUCUUCAGUAAAAGUAGCCAUCUUCAUUAUCUUCACAGCUGAAGUAGUCAUGUUCCGAGUCUUGCUCAUCUUCACAUAGAUCAACACCUGAUUCAGACUCAUCGGAUUCAGACCUGUCAUUAGCAUCUUCCAAGUCAUCGGAUUCAGACUCACCAUCUUCCGUAAAUAUAGACAGGUCGUCAUCAUCCUGUGUCAUUACCAGGUGGACCCCGAAGCUAUUAAAACGCAGCGAAUCUUGUGUCAAAUUCUGAAAAUUAACUUGACACGCAAAAGGCGACUGCGGCCAGGUAAUCUGAUCAUCCCGGUAAAACAUUUCUCUGAAUCGAAUAUAGCACAGCCACACAUGACCUGACCCUAUCUUUCUGAAAUGGUAAUCGAACUGAAUAUAAUGAGGUACCACUUCUGGUUGAUUGACGGAAAUUUUUGUUAGAAAACCAUGGUAACGUCGUCUUUUAUUUUGCGGGUUUUCAACAGCAGCAUAUAGAGCCAAUCCUUGGUUCUGGCAUUUGAAGUUUGGAGGGAUUUCAAUCAAAAGUUCACAUGCUUCAUCACGCUCCUUCACAUCGUUAUGACAGCUGAACAACGUCGAGAGAGCUUCAAAACUUGCUGGAAAUACAACCUGAAAUCCAUGUUUCUGUGAAGACAGAAGGUGAUCAAAGAAGAGUGUGAUCUGCUCCUUUGGUAGAAUGUUUGGUUUCUUUGGGAGGUCACGAGCCAGAUUGCCGCACAGUCUCUGGCAAUUACACAAGUCCACCAACUCAAUCAUUUGUGAGUCUUUUUUACCUUUCAGAAUGUUGGACAAUGAUGAAAACCUUUCCAAUGAUAUGCAAUCACUCGCCUCUAACUUUACUAUUUUUGGUGGAAGUUCCGGAAUAUCUUGAAGCCUCUUGCAGCCAUGCAAGUAAAGCUCCCGCAAAUUGACAAAUUUCAUAAUGCAUACGGGAAUACUUACAAGGAAAUCACUUCUUGUUAGAUCAAGUGCACUCAAUGUAGACACACAAUCAAGAGUUCUGAGGAAAUUAAUUUCUGAUAAAUUGCUUCCUUCCAAAGUGAAUGCCUCAAGUCUGGGAAGCGCUAAAGGAUGUGAUACUGCACUCCCCAAAACUUCAGACUUCACUUUAUUUGGAAAUGUAACAAGCUUUCGACUUCCUUGGAGACAAACGUGGUUUAGAUGUUCCAACUCAUAAAUGCUGGGUGGCAGAUUCGUAAGAUUUUCACGAUUCCUUAGGUCUAAAAAUUCAAGACUGAUGAGAUAUGCAAUUGAUGCAGGCAAUUCUUUGAAGCCACUACCAGAUAGAAACAUGCAACGUAAGGAAUCCAUCUUUCCCCCAAUUUCAGGGAAAGUCUCCAGUCUUCUGCAAUCUUCAAGAUUGAGAACUUGUAGAGAUUUUGACUGGAUUAUUGGAAAUAGUGUGAGGUUAUAGCAUCUCACAAGACUCAAGUCAACAAGCUUAUCAUGAAAUCCAACAGAAGGAUGAACCUCAACUAAACUCGUGCAGUCGUCCAGAUUCAAGGACUGUAAGUUUGGAAUUCCAGAGAUAUUUGGGGUUUUUGUUAGGAAUUCACAGCUCUCAAAAUUCAUGGACUUCAAAUUUUGCAAACGCUAUAUGAGACAAAAAUAGAAAAGAAAAAGAAGGAUCAAACGAUAAGGCAUAAACAAGUGCAAGCCAUAACUCCAAAAACUUAAUAAACUUUUGAAAAUACGAAGGGAUGAAAAUAAUUUAAAUUACCUUGAAUCCCUCCCCAAGUUGUGACAAGCGGCUACAAGGCAUAUAAAGUUCAACAAGUUUACUUGGAUUGAAAGUAGAUGGUAAAGUUUGUAGAGGACAAUCAGGCCAAUGAAGAAACCUCAACUCAUUAGAUAGAUAAUCCACGUGAUCACCAUAAAAUCGUGCAUUCACAUUGAUGAAAAGUCGAAGGUUUUUCAUCUCUGAGAAGCUGUCACCACUCAAGCAUAUGUCAUCUGGUGUCGGAAACUUUGCUAUGAUGCCUUUAAUAUUGUUUGUUCCCUAUUAUCAAAAAGCAGUAGUGUUAACAUACAAAGCUCUUUAGCAAAUAAAAAUGCAAGUGUACACAUCACACACACAGACUUACUGUUCCUUCUGUUAGAACACGAUAAACAUCCUCGUGAAACCACAAUCUGCUACGUUCACCAGGCUCAUCUGGCGACUCUUGAUAAACUAUUCCUCUACCCAAUUCUUCAAGCAAGUCAUGCAUCCCAAUUAUGCCUUGUUCAAUAUUUAUGAGGGCCUUGUCUACGAGUACUUUAAUAGCAUACUUAGGCUUGAGGUCACAACCUUCCAGGAUCGGUAUCACAUGGUUCACCUUUCUACCGUUAAAGAAACAUGCUAUAUCAAGGAAGACUUCUUGCACCGAAUAUUCCAAUGCAUCAUAGCUUAUUUUGAGAGUUUUUUUAAUGUCCGAGUGCAGAUUCCCAUCCAAUGCAUCAUGCCACUCAUCUAUACUUCUACCACAUAGAUGGGAACCUAAAACCUUGAGAGCUAAAGGAAGACCUUGAGCAUGCUUCACCACAGUUUCUGCAGCUUUCACAUAAUCAUCAUCCAAAUUUUUAUUUCUCCCACCAUUCCAACUAAUGAAGAGAUCAAGAGAUUCACCAAAGUUUAAUUUCUUGGCCUUGUAUAUAAUACUAACUUGAUGAGAUCUUAGCAAAUGCUUAUCUCUUGUCGUUAUGAUAAUUCUACUGCCCAAACCAAACCAAUCACAACCUCCAACUAAGUUGUUUAAUUGGUCCAAAUGAUCCACAUCAUCUACAAUUACAAGGACCUUUUUACCACUCAACCUUUCCUUUAUCACACUGAUUCCUUUAUCGGCACUGGUAACCUUUAUUUCCUUUCCUCUUAGAAUCUCAUAAAGAAGAAGAUUUUGUAGGUCGACUAGGCCUCCAUAUGGUAUUGAUCUUUCUCUUACAUUUUCCAGAAAACAACUCCCUUCAAACACAUGGGCCAGUGAGUUAUAAACAGCUUUAGCAACAGUUGUCUUUCCUAUUCCACCAUUCCCCCAUAUUCCUACCAUGCGAACAUCAUUUCUGUCAACGUCUAAAACUUUACGAAUAUCUAGUACACGAGCCUCUAUUCCAACUUGGUAUUUUGCCACAUUGAUAUGGGUAUCCUUUAAUACUUGUAAGGAAAUCUCGUUGACAAUGUUCUGAAUAAAUUCAGUUUCAGGGCUGCCAAUUUUAAGCACAAACAACAUUUAAAUAAAAUGGGAUUUUUCUAUAUAUGUUUUAAAGAAGUGCUCGACUCGAUACUAGUGUAAAUUAUGUCGUGAAUUUUAGAUGAUGGAGUUACUACAUCAUGAUAUUUGAUAUGUCUAGACACUUCUUCUUAUUAAAAUCUCGGUUUAUUAGUUAAAAGUUGGACUCAACAUCCAUAACUGUCUUACAUUUAUCAAGAAGAAUAAUUAAAUGAGGGUUUUAUAAUCAACAUAAGGAAGAGCUGUUUGGUAGGUAUCUAAGACUAAUAAAUUAAUUAAGUAUUUUGUUCUUGGAAAUUAUGUAAUUUAUGGACAACAUUUUAUAUAUGUUUGUUGCAUGUUAUCAUAUACCAUAGGCUUAAUUUUUUCAAAUCCUCUAGGUGUGGGAUUGCCCUGGAGAGAGAGAGAGAGAGAGAGAGAGAGAGAGAGAGAGAGAGAGAGAGAGAGAGAGAGAGAGAGAGAGAGAGAGAGAGAGAGAGAGAGAGAGGUGGUGGAUGGGAUAGAGGAAGGUGGAGGGAGGGUCAUAAGAGAGGCGUGAGUGCGGCUGUUUAUGGCAGGGAUGGGUUGAUUUGAGAACUUAUUAUUUUUUUCACAAUAUUAAACCCAAAUAAAUAAGUUAGGGAAAGUACAUCAAACAUGGUUUUCUUCUUCUGUCUUACACUCCCCUUCUAUUUUCUUACUCUAUCGUUUAAUCGCUCUUCUCGAUUUCUCCUUACUAAACAAUUGUUUAUCAAACAUGUUACUAUUGUAAUAGAUUUUGAUGUUGUCUUUUGUCUAUUUUUGCUCAUUUUGCUUCAAGAUCUUGAAUUUGUCGUUUGGUGGUUGACAAAUGAAGUGCAGAAAAUAUAUCUAAUCUGUAGUUUCUAUUCAUUUUCAGUACUUUUGAUUGCAUAUCUUGAAUUUAUAUUGUUUGAUGGCUGAGAACAUGAGGGAAAAACAAACAAUUAGAAAAUUCAUGAACAAGCUAUGAUGUUAGGGAAAGCUUGUGAUGGAAUGGACACUACGAUAACAAUAGAAGAGAUUGGUUUUCGUAACAGAGUGAUUUUAUUAGAAAGGAGAGAUGUACACUGCUUGCUUGGUGUAGAACUAUGAGGCUAUUAAUAAUGUAGCUAUUGGUUGGCUAAUUGGCCUUUCAGUGAUGUAACUAUUUGCUACUUAGUGGGUUUGUAAGAUUGCAGGAUUUCAUCCAACACAAAAAAUAAAGGACUGCAGGAUUCCACUGGCAUAUUACACAAAGCCUUGUAAUCUCCUCUGUUUCUAUUAGAUUGUGUGAGGCUUAGAUAUAAGAAUAGUGUUUGGCUUUCUAGUAGAUUUCUUAGUUACAAUUCACAUUACAACACUUCAAUCCUAUUUAUUGGCAAUGUUUUCCGGCAAGUUUGCCGACUUGACCAACCACCAUGUCUACUACUUGGCUUUAUCAAAUAUUAUCAGCCACAUAAGCUGCAGCUUGCUCUAGACUGGAGCAUUCUACAAAACUCCUUAUAUGUUUGUGGCUAUUUGUUUAGCCGGCAAAGUUCACCGACUUGGUCAUUUAGUCCAGUAGCUACCCUCUUCUAGAUUCUACUACAAUUAUCUUAGAUAUCUGAUAGCUAUUGUAGCACUUUGGGAUUCUAAAUUAUUACUCUAGAGAUUUCUACCAAAUGUCCAUCACAUUUUAACAGUUAAAAUAACAGAUUCUGCAACCCUGGGAGAAAUAAAUUGAAAUUAAGGCAGAGCCUCCUGAUCCUAAAUGUAUAUUAAAGAUAGAAAUAUACCGCAUUCAGAAAAGAAAAAAAACAUACCCCUCCAAGUAAUGCGACCCAGACAAAUUUGCAGCUUCUGUAAGGGUUUCCUUCCAUCUCAGCACCUUCUUCAUAUUGUCCUCGAAUUUACUUUCAUCAUGGUUAGUAAGUCUCUGUUCUUUGAAUUUGCGUUCAUGGUUAUUCAGUGCCUCGCCAUAACUACCUCUUUGGUUCCUUACAUCUGAGGGAUCCACUUUGUAGAAAACUGGCCAAACCAUCUGUUGCUUUGAUUUUCUACACUGAAUGAUAUGAACAAGUUCAUCCAAGCACCACUUCGAGGAUGCAUAGUUUUCAGAGAAUACGAUGAUGGAACACCUCGAUCCUUCAAUUGCAUCAAGAAGUGCUUGUGAUAUUUCUUCUCCUCUUGGGAGCUCAUCAUCUAUGAAGGUUCUGAUGCCCCUCUGGACCAAAUUUUUGUGUAGAUGGUCUGUGAAAUUGUAGCGUGUGUCCUCACCUCUAAAGCUGAGAAACACAUCGUGUGUCCAUGAAUUGGUGAAAGAAGAAGAAGAAGAAGGGGAAGGAGCUCCUAAU